UACGUAGGGUGCAAGCGUUGUCCGGAAUUAUUGGGCGUAAAGAGCUCGUAGGCGGUCUGUCGCGUCGGCUGUGAAAACCCGAGGCUCAACCUCGGGCCUGCAGUCGAUACGGGCAAACUAGAGUACUGCAGGGGAGACUGGAAUUCCUGGUGUAGCGGUGAAAUGCGCAGAUAUCAGGAGGAACACCGGUGGCGAAGGCGGGUCUCUGGGCCGAUAUUGACGCUGAGGAGCGAAAGCGUGGGGAGCGAACAGG
rnacentral:rRNA from 1 species